UACGUAGGGGGCAAGCGUUGUCCGGAUUUAUUGGGCGUAAAGAGCGUGUAGGCGGCCAGACAAGUCUGCUGUGAAAACUCGAGGCUCAACCUCGAGCUGUCGGCGGAAACUGUCUGGCUAGAGUCCGGAAGAGGAGAGUGGAAUUCCUGGUGUAGCGGUGAAAUGCGCAGAUAUCAGGAAGAACACCUAUGGCGAAGGCAGCUCUCUGGGACGGUACUGACGCUGAGGUGCGAAAGCGUGGGGAGCAAACAGG
rnacentral:rRNA from 1 species